ACUGGAUCUGGGACAGAGCCAUGAUGUCUCCAGAAACAAAAUGAAAAACACUAAAAACUUUACGCAGCUCCUCUCCUAAACUCCUGCAGAAAGAAAACUGCUUAAAAGUGUUGUAAUUGCUCCUCUGUGGUUCAACCAGGUCCAAAUGAAGGACCUGACCGACCAGAGAGACAGAGAGAGAGAGACAGAGAGAGAGAGAGAGACAGAGAGAGACACCCGGCUGCGGCUCCGCCCGACAGCUCGCCGGAUCUCUACGAGGGAGCGGCGGCAAAAUACUGGAGCGAAUCCUGACUCAUCUUCGGCGGAGAGAAAACCUCGCCAUCCUCCACAACCUCCCAUGGGCCCCGUUUCUGUUUUCAUCAGACCUACCUACCUACAGCGGAACAGAGACCACGGACUUGAAUUGCCGAUGACCAUCAUAAGCUAACAAAUCUGAAGCUAAUGAAGAAAAGACAUGGAGAACUCUCCAGGGGCGCUCUCACUCUCUCGGACCAGAAACGCCCCGCACUCCCUGUGUCUGAGUCGACUUUCUGCCACACCGCGAGAUAUACGACCGGCAAACCAGCUGGAAGCAAGAAAGAAA